CCUACGGGAGGCAGCAGUGAGGAAUAUUGGUCAAUGGGCGCUAGCCUGAACCAGCCAAGUAGCGUGAAGGAUGACUGCCCUAUGGGUUGUAAACUUCUUUUAUAUGGGAAUAAAGUGCAGUAUGUAUACUGCUUUGCAUGUACCUUAUGAAUAAGGCUCGGCUAACUCCGUGCCAGCAGCCGCGGUACUACGGAGGAUCCGAGCGUUAUCCGGAUUUAUUGGGUUUAAAGGGAGCGUAGGCGGGUUGUUAAGUCAGUUGUGAAAGGUUGGGGCUCAACCGUAAAAUUGCAGUUGAUACUGGCAGCAGUGAGUACAGUAGAGGUAGGUAGAAGUCGAGGUGUAGCGGUGAAAUGCGUAGAGAUCACGAAGAACUCCGAUUGCGAAGGCAGCCUGCUGGACUGUAACUGACGCUGAGGCGCGAAAGUGUGGGUAUCAAACAGGAUUAGAUACCCCAGUAGUC
rnacentral:rRNA from 1 species